AUGACGGAGGCGGAAGUGGGUCGGGGAGGAUGUAGCGGUGCUGACAGAGGCUGUGGCGCCGAGAUCUCCUCACCCGUGCAGUCAGCCUGUUCCGCCAUGGAGGUUCAAGAUGCUGGACAUGAGACGGUGGCAUCUCCUGUCACACCAGGAUCAGGCAAAUCAAAGCUGGACACAUUGCCCAAAGAAGAUCUCAUCAAGUUUGCAAAAAAGCAAGUGAUGAUUAUACAGAAAGUGAAGUCCAGAUGCACAGAGCUGGAGAAAGAGAUUGAAGAACUCAAAUCUAAAGCAGCUACUGGAGGAGCUGAUGAUAUUAUUCAGGCUCUCACAGAAAGGCUGGAUGUUGUACUUCUGGAAAAAGCUGAAAGUCAACAGCAGUGUGUAGCUCUAAAAAAAGAAAAUAUUCAAAGGAAGCAAGAAGCAGAGGCUGCAAAGGCUAAGACAGAAGAAUUGCAGAAGCAACUGGAGCAAUCAAGCAUUGACUCUCUGAAAGAAAUAAAAGCUCUGAAGAGUGAAUUAGCAAAUGCACAAUGCAAACACAAUGAGGACAUAAGCAAGCUGAAAAUGGAACUAGAGGAACAAGUAAAGAAGCAAACGGGACUAGUGGAAGAGAUUGAACGUCACGGUGAUAGUCAAGAAGAAGUUAAAAGAUUACAAGAUGAUAUCCAAAUAAUUAAAUCUACUUAUGAGGAACAAAUUUUGUGUCUGAGCAAGCAGUUGGAAACUGUAAAUGAGGACAAAAACAAAGAAGUGACAAAUUUGCAAGAACAUAUUAAAAGCAGCUCUGAGAGUUACCAUAAUGAAAUAAAGAAUCUGAAUGAUGAGCUUACAAAGUUAAAAAUUGCCCAUCAGGAAGAGGUGUCAGAGUUGAUGCAGCAGAUUGAAAUGUCGUCUAAAGAAAAUGUGGAAAAGCAAAAUCAGAUAAAUCAGUUACAGCACGAGGAGAGAUUAAUGAAUGAGAAAAAUGUGAAGGAUGAAAUGUGCACUCCUACUGACCAGCGUGAAUAUGACUUGGAGCAGCUGAGAGAAGUCUUAAAUAAAAAUGUAGAAAGUGGGUCACAUGUUGUAGAUAUGCAAGGAGAACCUUCUGUAGAGGCGAGAAUGGAAGAAAAGGUUAGACACCUAGAGAAUAGCUUAGAAGAGCUCCACUCCCAACAUAGUAUAUUAAAAGAUGAGUUAACUUACAUGAGUAAUGUUAAAGUAAAACUGGAAGAGGAAAUCCAUCGCCUGAAGGAGGAGUACUUUCAUGAGCGGGAAGACUUGGACUUUAAGAUAAAUGAACUGCAGCUUGCUAAAGAAGACUACUGUUCUGUAAUCGAAAAACUAAAAUUGGAGCUUCAAACAGCAAGACAGCACAGUGAAACUACUGUAAAAGAGCUUAAGUUAGAGACUCAGUCUCUGAAAGAGCAACAUAAGAGAGAAAUUUCUGAACUAAAUGAAACCUUAUUAUCUGUUUCUGAAAAAGAAAAGAUGGCAUUAAUUUUUGAAACACAGGAACUUAGAGAACAACUUGAAAAGCUAACUCAGGAGAAAGAAGAAGCAGUGUCCAAUUACAACAGCCUGAGAGAAACAAUGGAAACUCUACAGGCUGAGCUAGGGGAAUCUGCUGGAAAGAUCAGCCAGGAGUUUGAAUCAAUGAAACAGCAGCAAGCUUCUGAUGUCAGUGAACUGCAACAGAAGCUCCGGGCUGCUUUCAAUGAGAAGGAUGUUCUUCUUGAAACUGUGAAUCGCCUCCAGGAAGAAGUAGAAAAAUUAUCAUCUAAUCAGCUAGAGGCAGAAGAACUUAAAUGUAAAAUUGUUAGUCUUCAGAAGGAGAAUAACACGAUGACAAGCUCCAUUGACAAAAAAGAGAGUGCUGUAAAAGAACUGGAAGAGAAGAUCAUCGCUCUUACUGAUCAAAACAAUGAUAUUUUAAAUGAAGUAAAAUGUUUAGGUGAAGAGAGAGAAACCCUUCAGGAAAAGUGCAAAAAGGAACAAGUUAAAAUUCAGGAACUUCAGCAAGAAGUAGGUGUUGUUAACCAAUACAAUAAUGACCUGAAGAAAAAGGUGGAGGAAUUAACAGAGAGACUGAAUGAAGCUUUGUCUAGGGAGAGUGAAAAUGCUCAAAUGCUAGCACAACUAGAAAACCAGAUUGAAUCUCUGGUGCGUGAAAGAGAGAGUCUUUCAUCUGAAGCAUCUACGCUUCGUGAGGAAAAUAAGAAAAUCAUUCAGGAAAAAGGUGAAUUAAGUGAAGAGCUAGAAAAGAUUACAUCUGAAAAAGACGGUUGGUUAGUCUUGAAAGAGCAAUCUGAAAACUUAGAAAAGAAACUAGAAAUUACGAGUGCAGAAAAAGACCAUCUAUCAACAUUACUUGUAAAUGAACAAGGGCAGCAAUCCCUUGUAAGAACUCAGCUGUGCCAGUUACUUGAGCAAGUUGGGUCCAGAGUUUCAGAUUCUAAUGAAGACUAUGAUUCUCUUAACUUGUUAGAAAUUGCAAAUGAAUGCUUGUCAAAAAUGAAAGAGCAGCAGUGCCUUGCUCUACAGAACCAGGAGGAAGUUCUCCAUUUGCAGCAGGAAGUUGAGAGAUUAGAGGAAGAAAAUGCAGCUCAGCAAAGAGAACAUAGAUCUCUGAUGCAGGAUUUUGAGCAAGAAAAGGAUAUGUUGAGAGAAGAAUUGGAAGGAGCAUUGUCUGAAAAAGACGCACUUCAAAAUGAUGUACAGGAGCUGAAGAAUGCCAGUGAAAAAACGAGGACUGAAAAUCAAGAUCUUUUUGCUAAGAUUGAAGAGAUCACUCAAAAACUUGCUUUUUAUGAAAGUCAAAUAGAAGAACAGCAAAAAGGAUCAGAAAAACAAGACAACUUAAAUUUCAUUGUGGAGCAAAAAGAAGUUGAACUUAGAAAUGUGAAAGACGAACUGAGUUCUCUAAAGAAUUUAAUGGAGACAAUGACUGAGAAAAAUGAUCAACAGUCUUCAGUAGCAGAGCUUCAAGAAAAAAUUGAAAGACUGGAAAAAGAAUCUGCAGAAAAAGGAGAGAAGCUAAACAAAAUUAAGGUUGUUGCUGUGAAAGCGAAGAAAGAAUUAGAUGCCAACAGAAAAGAGAUGCAGAAUCUGAGAGAAGAAUUGGACUUGGUUCGAUCAGAGAAAGAUCAGUUGUCUGCUUCCAUGAAGGAUGUCAUUCAAGGAGCUGAAAGCUAUAAAAAUCUUUUGAUAGAAUAUGAUAAGCAAGGAGAACAGCUGGAUUCUGAAAAAGGCAGAGCGAGUAAUCUUGAACGUCAGGUAGAUGACCUCACAAGACAGCUACAGUUGUCAUCCCAGCAGCAUGAUCAGUUACACUCUGCUAAUGAAGACCUCUUGACUCGUGUUGAAACACUGCAGCAUAAUGCUAAGCUGCUGGAAGCCCAGAUACUGGAGAUCCAAAAAGCCAAGGCAAAAGCUGACAAAGAACUAGAAACUGAAAAGCUUCUAAAAGAGCAGAAAACAAAGGAACAUAGUGGUGCUCUCCGAGAAUUGGAAGAGCUUCAGGUGCAACUCCAGAAGGAAAAGAAACAUCUGCAGAAAACUAUGCAAGAACUAGAGCUGGCCAGAAAGGAUGCUCAAAAGAGUACACUGAUGGAUAUGGAAAUAGCUGAUUAUGAAAGGCUAGUAAAAGAACUUAAUCAGAAGAUUACUGAUAAAGACAGCAGAAUAGAAGAUCUUGAGCAAGAGACAGGGAUUCAGAAACAGAAGCAAGAGACCCUACAGGAAGAAAUAAAAUCACUUCAGUCAACUAUGCAACAGGACGAGGAAAGAAAUGCCAAGAUAAAACAACUCCUGGUGAAAACCAAAAAAGAACUGGCUGAUUCAAAACAAGCUGAAAAUGACCAUAUAAUGUUGCAGGCAUCAUUAAAAGGGGAACUGGAAGCCAGUCAGCAACAAGUGGAAGCCUAUAAGAUUCAAGUGGCUGUACUAACAUCAGAAAAACAUAAAGCUCAAGAACACUUGCGAACUUCUUCGGAGCAGCACCAGCGUACCUUGGGUUCUUACCAGCAAAAAAUUGCAACCUUGCAAGAAGAGUGCAGAGCAGCUCAGGCUGAGCAAGCAUCUGUUACAUCUGAAUUUGAGAGCUACAAAGUUCGUGUUCAUAAUGUUCUGAAACAGCAAAAGAAUAAAUCUGCAUCGCAGACAGAAACUGAGGGAGCCAAACAAGAAAGAGAACAUCUGGAAAUGGUAAUAGAACAACUGAAAGUUAAGCUGCAAGAUGCUCAGCAUAAUUCACAGCUGAAUGCUUCUGAACUCCAGGCAUUACAAUCUGAACAUGACACCCUACUGGAAAGACACAAUAAGAUGCUGCAAGAGACUGUUGCAAAAGAGGCAGAACUUCGUGAAAAGCUCUGCACAAUACAGUCUGAGAACAUGGUGAUGAAAACAGAGCAUGCCCAGACUUUGAGUCAGCUGACAGCCCAGAAUGAAGCCCUCCGGAACAAUUUCAGAGAUCAAGUCAGGAACCUGCAAGAAGAGCACAGGAAGACAGUGGAGACACUUCAGCAGCAACUGUCUAGAGUAGAAGCUCAACUCUUCCAACUCAAGAGUGAACCAAGCACUAGAGGUCCAGCUGUUUCAAAUCCAGCAACAAAGAACUUAAGAGAACGGCGAAGCACUGACCUUCCUGCUCUCGAUGUGCACACCAUAGCUAGGGAAGAGGGAGAAGGUAUGGAAACAACGGACACAGAGUCUGUCUCUUCAGCCAGCACCUAUGUACCAUCCUUGGAGCAACUUUUGAACUCUCCAGAAGCAAAACUUGAACCGCCUCAGUGGCAAACAGAACUCACCAAGGAUGAACUGAUUCAGAAACUAAACACGACAGCCAAGAGCGCCGAUCACUUGAAUGAAUUACUUCGUGAAUCAGAAGCAACCAAUGCGAUCCUAAUGGAACAAAUAAAGCUUCUGAAGAAUGAAAUAAGAAGACUGGAAAGAAAUCAAGAGAGAGAAAAGUCUGUGGCUAAUCUAGAAUACUUGAAGAAUGUUCUAUUGCAGUUCAUAUUUCUAAAAUCAGGAAGUGAGAAAGAAAGGCUGCUCCCAGUAAUAGACACUAUGUUGCAACUCAGCCCUGAAGAGAAGGGGAAGCUAGUUGCAAUUGCCCAAGGUGAGGAAGAGAGUAGCUCCCGACCCUCUGGGUGGGCUUCAUACCUCCACAGCUGGUCAGGACUUCGAUGAGACAGCAAAAACGCUGAAUCUUUAAACACAUUCCAAAGCUGCAAGAAAAGAAGAAUGCAGAAGAAUCUGUUGGUGUUGUAGUAUUGAACUACAGAGAAUCAUUGCCUGGUAUACAUAUCAAUAUGAAACAGUCAUCUUCCUUUCCUAUCUAUCUUAGUUGAGGCGCUGAGGAAAUGAUGCUCAUUCCUUUAAUAUUGCCUUAUUCGGGGCUGAGAUGAACCUGAACGUAAGAACAGCAGAAAGGUAGCACAUAUUGAGAAUAAACUGUUCAGUAACUGUGCUUUUGGUUUAAUUUAUUGUUUCUUGCAUAUAUUUCAGUAUACAAUCAACAAAGCCAACAGACCUUAUUUUCUUUCUACAAUCUUUAAGCAUCAUCUCUCUUUUUUUCUUUUUUCAUCUUUUCUUCCCUUCCUCACUCCGUGUUUUAACCGGAAUCUGCAGUUUGUGCUACCAGUGAAAACAUUUUCUGUGGACUUUCGGGUCACAGAACUGACAAAUAGUAGUAUGGGGAUGAGCCUUUUAGGCAUCUGGAGCUUGGAAAUGUAUUCAACAAACAUGAGGCUACAUUUAGGCUUUCUUGCAUUUGCUUUUGAAAUUAUUGCCAUAUCUUCAGCAUUCAAGAUUUGCUGCAGAUCUUGGAUGUUGAAUUCCAAGUCCUUAUUGAUUUAGUUUUGGUUAAUGUCGCUUGAAAGGAUGCCAAAACACAGCAACAGGAGAGAUUUGCAACAUGCAUAAAAAUAAGUGCAAGUCAUUCUCCCGCUGUGAUUUUUAGCAGUGGAAGCACAUGAGUGGAAGGGUACAACUUUGUCUUACUUAGUUUGAACUCAGUUUGCAGCAGACCUGGUUUAGCCUCUUCUGCACGAUCCCUGCUCAGCUAUUGCUAAAGAGCUAUGACAAGCUACUUUGAAACUGCACAUAUUUCAGAACUCUAGAUUAUUUAACAUUGUAAGCUGUGAAUAAAUGUAUGCAAGUAACAGAUAUCGCUGGCUGUAUUACAUACCAGUUGCUUAUUGACUUCUUUCAAGUCUGAGUUGCAUGCUCACUGGUUUUAGUAAAACUCAAGUAUUGUACUUACGAAUGUAGUGGACAACUUGCAUUACUAUAUUUUUUUUAUAAUGGAAGAGUAAGAUCUUAAUUAAUGUAAAAAUAUUUUAAUAACUGCUACUAAAGUGUGUUCUGUUGCUAAGAUUGCCAGAACUUACCUCUGUGGCAAUAAACUGUCUGUAAGCAAAUGUAUCAAAGUUUAAUAUGCACUUGCAGUAAAUGGCAUAGAAGAAUGUCGACUGGAAGCAGGAUUAUUUUGGAUAGAAAACUUUUUAUAUGUCAUAUAUUUGCAAUUGUAAUGUACAGCAUUGUAGCUGUGAUUUGCUUUCAAAAAGCAUUUUGAAGUUUUAACUAGUACUGCUGCUUCUUGAUAUACUGUGGUGCUCUCUUUUGGAAGAGCACUGUGCUGACUUUGUUUUCUGGUUCUUUUGUUUGUUUGUUUUCUUUACAGUGUCAUAUUUGUUAGGAUGUUUCCCAGAAAAUGUAACCCCUGCCCAAAGAGUUUACAAGCUUAGGACCAAUUUUCACUCCUCUUCUAUCAGCCUGCCUUCGGCUCAGGCCUAAGGAGGGCAUAUUUAAGAAAAACAAAAAAGCCAGAAAGGGGAAGAGACUACUGUCACUAUGCAGAGUAUAUAUUAAUUAAAAAAAUCAAAAAGGUAAGUGAUUCAGAGUUCCCAGGAGUGUGCACUGUGGCUGCAUUUUUAACUACCUUUGCUAACUUUGAAGCAGGGCAUGUGCCUUACAUGUUCUUGUUUCCCAGAAGGGAGACUCAUCUGUCCAAGCAAAGUGUGUUCCAGUUGAAAGAUGUGAAGACCUGAGCUUCUCAGGCUGUAGUGUAGAUGUGGCCAGUUGGAUCUGGGGUUCUUGAUGGCCAAAGGGAACCCAUGUUAGAUGUGAUACAUUGGAGAGUAGAGUUGCUUUUUUCCUUUCAUGGCCCUCCCUCCUUAAGGUGUAAUUAGGAGAAUACAGGGUUAGAUUAUUUUCUAUAUUUAAAUCUUCUUUGGCUUGCUAUUGCCCUCCAUCCUUCUGCUUUAAUACAGACAAUGUAUCCUGAAAUUGUGGAUGCUCACUUAAAAACUCUCCUCAGUUUAUGCUAAGUGGCUGUGAAGGAAGCUUAACGACCUAUCCUUCCUUGGCUUAUGCCUUAGCUUCACCCAGUGCACCAAUAAUUCCUCCACUACUUGUUAGUUCUACUAUUACUGGUACUGUGAAAAUAUCUCAUUUAGGAGCCUUGCAAAUAGCAGUUACUACCCACAAGCUGAGAAACCAAAUGUAUGAAGAGAUAAAAAUAUAUUUGUUGUAGUAAUUUCAGAAUUGCUAGUCUGAAUAGAUAAGUGUUUUUGUUGGAAAGAUGUCUUUGGCCUUUUCAU